rnacentral:rRNA from 1 species
UACGGAGGGUGCGAGCGUUGUCCGGAAUCAUUGGGCGUAAAGGGCGCGUAGGUGGCCCGGUCAGUCUUUGGUGAAAGCGCGGGGCUCAACCCUGCGUCGGCCAGGGAUACUGCCGCGGCUCGAGCACUGUAGAGGCAGGCGGAAUUCCGGGUGUAGCGGUGGAAUGCGUAGAGAUCCGGAAGAACACCGGUGGCGAAGGCGGCCUGCUGGGCAGUUUGGCUGACACUGAGGCGCGACAGCCAGGGAGCGAACGGG